rnacentral:lncRNA from 1 species
UCCUCAUUAUUCAAUACUUUAUUUCAUAUUCUUUCAAAUUAAAAUUCUCCCUGGAUAUAUUUUCUGCCUUUCCAUGUCAGAUUCAAUGUCCGUGAUAUUUAAUUAGAGAUAGACCACACAUUUAGCCUAGAGAAAGUUUUUGACUCAGGAUGUACACCAUGUCUCUGUUGGUGGCAAAUCAUUUUGAGAGAAUUCUUUCUUCUGAACUCCCUCAGGUGAGUCCCCCCUUCCUUGCAGUAUGAGUCCCAGCAGCUGGAGCAGUCCAUCUUUUUACACAACUUCACUGUAAUCUGGACUUCUGGAAAGAUUCAGUUUAGAAACGUAAAUUACCAACACAGUCUUACCUUGGAUGCCAAAAACAACGAGAGAGCCAUGAGACCAUCCAGCACUACCUCCCAACAUUUAUCCUCAGUCUUCGCAGAAAUCCCAUUGUGGCUAAGUAUCUAAAGAGGAAUUUUUAGCCCUGGAAUUAUCAUUGCUAGUGAUGCUGUGAGAGCAGGAAAAAUACGGGGCUGUAAUUUUCAGUCUCAGGUGAGCUUUGCAGAGAUGGAAGUUCAUUAAACCAUCUUGUGAAAAGAGACUACUUGAUCCUGAAGACAUGCUGCCAUGAACCUUAAAAGAUGAUAGCUGUCAUUUUUCAAAAUAUCAGUACUUCCUUAGGUACCCGCUUCCCUUUUGAAGGAUUUUAGUCAGAGGGAAACUCAUGUUCAGAGAGACGGACAUCAACCAGUUUGGAUAAUGAUCAGUAUUGCAGUUUUACUCAGAUCUAACUCGUUGCUUAAGAAAGUGAGACUGAAAUUUGGCCAGCUUAGAAAGCAAUUUGGGAAACUUUAUUGAAGUGACAAACUAUGUGACUGCUAAGGAAAUAGGCUCUUGUGCACAGGGAAACAAGUGUUAAAGUCAAAACCACACAAGGCUUAUUAAAAUCGUAUUGAGUGUUGGCAGUGAAUGAGUGCAGAUGGCUUUAUGAAAGCAGCUUCCUGAUGGUUAAAAGAAUAGAAAAUAAAGACAACACAAAAACAAUUAACAAAUUGCCAUUAUUGCUGAGGUAGAGAAGUAGGAAGACAGACAAAAGAAAUUACCGAAUGUCAGGGUAAAUUUGCUAGUUGGCAGUGAUGUUGCUUAAAACUGAAGUAGGUGAAUGCACAUUUACAAGUUC